rnacentral:rRNA from 1 species
AGCAGUAGCCACGGUAAUACAGAGGGUGCGAGCGUUAAUCGGAUUUACUGGGCGUAAAGCGUGCGUAGGCGGCUUCUUAAGUCGGAUGUGAAAUCCCUGAGCUUAACUUAGGAAUUGCAUUCGAUACUGGGAAGCUAGAGUAUGGGAGAGGAUGGUAGAAUUCCAGGUGUAGCGGUGAAAUGCGUAGAGAUCUGGAGGAAUACCGAUGGCGAAGGCAGCCAUCUGGCCUAAUACUGACGCUGAGGUACGAAAGCAUGGGGAGCAAACAGGAUUAGAUACCCCUGUAGUCCCUGUCUCUUAUAA